UAGUCGACAUAACUCUGCACAGGAAAAAACCUCGAACGACGCCGUCCAGGACGGAGCGUCUCGCUCGCAUCCACUCGCCUCCCACCCCUUCCCCUCUUUCCGACUCGGCCUUCCCUCCUGUCGCAGCCACCGGAGCCUGGUCGUUCUCCCUCGGCGGCGCAUUCACGCAGAUGGAUGACAGGGAGCUUAGACGGAAAAAAAUUGUACUCAUCAGUGCUGCUACAUAUCUAGCUGCCUGUAUGGUGCUUUUGUUUAUUCGGUCUAGACUGAGAAAAGAAAGGCAACGUGUUACAUAUGCUCCAAUGGAGGAAAGGGAUAAGAAAAGGAUUGACUACCUGAACACAAGAAUUUACAAGGAUGGUACGACCUGCACCAAAAUGAUAAGGCUUAAGAGAGAUCCUUUCUUUGAGUUGUGUCGAGUUUUAAGAGAACGCUCUUUGCUCCAAGACACUAUAUAUGUAUUAUAUAUGUAUGCAUCGAGGAACAAGUUGUCAUGUUCUUGAAUACAGGUGGACACAACCUAAGAAAUAAGCUAGUUGGGACUAAUUUCAUUAGGUCAGGUGAAACCGUUAGCAGAUAUUUCAACCUAGUCCUACGUGCCAUAGGGAGCUAAGAAAUGAGCUUAUUCGGCCACCUUCUUCGGUCCCCAGCCAAAAUUGCAGGCAAUCCAAGAUGGGAUCCGUACUUUAAGGAUUGUAUUGGAGCUAUUGAUAGGACACAUAUAUGAGUAUCUGUUAGUAAAUCUAUGGAGGCAGCCUUUCGUGGUAGGAAGUCGUUUGCAACACAAAAUGUGAUGGCAGAUGUAGAUUUCGAUUUGAAAUUCACAUAUGUGCUAGCUUAGUGGGAAGGGACUGCACAUGAUGUUGUGGUAUUAUCAGAUGCAUUAAAGAGAGUGAAUGGUCAACGAGUACCGGAAGGUAAUAAAACUAUUUUUGUUGUUAAUACCCUCACUAAUAAUCUAUUGAAACAAUUUAAUCACUCUGUGGUUUCAUCUUAGGAAAAU